rnacentral:lncRNA from 1 species
GGUCAACUACUGGUACCUUUACCUUAAUUGAAUUUAUUAUAAAUCACUAUAAAACAUAGAAGUUCUGUUUAUAUUCAAAAAUCACAAAUUCAUUGUAUUUCUUGUUGUGCUUGAUGUUUUGCAAAAUUUCAUUUGACUAAUAUAGGCCUACAGUACGUAUUAACGAAACGAAUCCGUCAUUAUCAGAUAAUUUGUAAUUAAAGUUCAUAGGAUAACCUUAUUAGCAAAUGCCUUCAGAUAAUUCUAAUAGUCCUCCAUUUUUAUAGUGAUACGUGCAGAUCUUUAAUUGAUAUUUUUACAGCUAUACUGGCAUAUAUAACAAUAUUUACAGAUCAUCUAGAUCGGUUAUAGCAUAAGAUGCUAAAGAAUAUGCGAGAACGAAUACAAACGAUGGGCUUUACUCGUUGAGCGCAAACAGUAGCUAGAUAUACUGCAUGUUUCUCUUCUGUUUAUUUGCUCCUAAUAGAUUUCUUGAAAUUAUAAUAGUUUUUAAGAUUACAACAGUGCUUUUAAUUUUAAAAACACAUUUUAAACUUCAAAUGAUACAUCGAUAGUACGAUCAUAUAGUAUGUACUAAGUUGCAUUUACAAUAGAUAAGCGGUCUGAUGGUGAUAUUCUGAAGAAUAUAUAAAUUAUUCACCAUAAAUAUGUUUUUAAUGCAUCAGUAAACUGAACGAAAUAUUUAAUUGAAAAUGUAAAAAACGUAGAUGAUAUUCUACUUGAAUAGCUAUUUAAUUAAAGCAGCUCACCAGCGGAUUAAGCAGGACGGUCCCAGAUUUAAAAAGUUGUCCCACAUAGUGACGAGUCUCGGAAAUAUCCUGCAUUUCGUUCAAUUUAUCCUCCUGUUAGGCAUUUUUUUUAUAAAGUUGAGUGGAUCGUUUAAUCGCUCUGAGGUUUGUCACCUUCGCUACGUAUUACAUUGCAUGUAUGAUAAAACACUGUAGCUCACCAGUCGUCCUUAGAGAUGAAUGUGAAUCUCUCUCUUGUAUAACGUCUAACAUGUAAAAAUAAUUUCAUAUAGGUUUUAUGGUUGCAAAAUAUUCUGAUAAUUUUAUUUGAUUUAAAUAUCAAAGCACCAGACCUGCUGAGCUGGAAUCAAUUAUUUUUGAUUUCUCACGCACUACAUUGCACGUUUAUAAAACGAGAAUUUCAGUUGUGAAUAUUUAGUAGAAAAUAACAUAUUUAUUUUUUUUGAGAAUUUCAACUAUCGCCGAGAUUAUAAGUCAAGCGAGUCACAUGCAAAGCAAGAAAAUCAUUUAAAAUUAAAAGUUUUAUUUUAACCCCUUUGAAUAAACCUCUUAGUGUACGUAUUAGGUAGAGAGAGGUUUUUCCUUUAAAAAAAAAAAAAAAAAAACCUAAGAGUCCGUUCUUUCGGAAAAUGUUUUACAUUGCCCUUUCAAAU